rnacentral:rRNA from 1 species
GUGAGGAAUAUUGGUCAAUGGACGGAAGUCUGAACCAGCCAUGCCGCGUGAAGGAUGAAGGCGUUCUGCGUUGUAAACUUCUUUUAUUUAGGAAGAAACCACCGAUUUCUAUUGGUGUUGACGGUAUUAAAUGAAUAAGCACCGGCUAACUCCGUGCCAGCAGCCGCGGUAAUACGGAGGGUGCGAGCGUUAUCCGGAUUUACUGGGUUUAAAGGGUGCGCAGGCGGUCUUAUAAGUCCGGGGUGAAAUACUACAGCUCAACUGUAGAACUGCCUUGGAUACUAUAGGACUUGAAUCGAGUAUAGGUCAGCGGAAUACAACAUGUAGCGGUGAAAUGCAUAGAUAUGUUGUGGAACACCGAUUGCGAAGGCAGCUGACUGGGCUUGAAUUGACGCUCAGGCACGAAAGCGUGGGUAGCGAACAGGAUUAGAUACCCGAGUAGUCC